rnacentral:rRNA from 1 species
UACGUAGGGUGCAAGCGUUAAUCGGAAUUACUGGGCGUAAAGCGUGCGCAGGCGGUUGUGCAAGACCGAUGUGAAAUCCCCGGGCUUAACCUGGGAAUGGCAUUGGUGACUGCACGGCUAGAGUGUGUCAGAGGGGGGUAGAAUUCCACGUGUAGCAGUGAAAUGCGUAGAGAUGUGGAGGAAUACCGAUGGCGAAGGCAGCCCCCUGGGUCAACACUGACGCUCAUGCACGAAAGCGUGGGGAGCAAACAGG